rnacentral:rRNA from 1 species
UCGGGAAUCUUGCACAAUGGGCGAAAGCCUGAUGCAGCAACGCCGUGUGAGCGAGGAAGGUCUUCGGAUCGUAAAGCUCUGUUGUUGGGGACGAAGGGCGACGGGUUAAUAGCCCCUAGCCUGACGGUACCCUUCGAGGAAGCCCCGGCUAACUCCGUGCCAGCAGCCGCGGUAAUACGGAGGGUGCAUGCGUUAAUCGGAAUUACUGGGCGUAAAGCGCGCGUAGGUGGUUGUGUAAGUCGGAUGUGAAAGCCCAGGGCUUAACCUUGGAAUUGCACCCGAUACUGCAUGACUAGAGUAUGGUAGAGGGAAGUGGAUUUUCCGGUGUAGCGGUGAAAUGCGUAGAUAUCGGAAGGAACACCAGUGGCGAAGGCGACUUCCUGGGCCAAUACUGACACUGAGGUGCGAAAGCGUGGGGAGCAAACAGGAUUAGAUACCCCUGUAGUCC